UCUCUCUCUCUCUCUCCCCCUCUCUCUCUCUCUUUUUUUUUUUUUUUUUUUGUCUUUUUGCCAUUUCUUUGGGCCACUCCCGCGGUAUAUGGAGGUUCCCAGGCUAGGGGUCUAAUGGGAGCUAUAGCCACCACCCUAUGCCAGAGCCACAGCAACACGGGAUCCGAGCCGCAUCUGCAACCUACACCACAGCUCACGGCAACACCGGAUCCUUAACCCACUGAGCAAGGGCAGGGACCGAACCUGCAACCUCAUGGUUCCUAGUCGGAUUCGUUAACCACUGCGCCACGACGGGAACUCCAUUCUCUCUCUUUUUAAUCCUUUCGUGGAACCUCAGUGCCCGGGAGCAGAUGACUCGAAGCCCCUCCUGCCAAUGCUCCCAUCUGGGCCCAGGGAUGUCCGCUGCUCACUCAUCCCUUUGGUGGUCCCUCUGCUUUCUUUCGUUUGGGCAUUUACUUAUCUACACGGGCCCAGAGUCGGAAAACUUUAGGCUAAAGUUAACCCUCAUCGUUGGUUCCCUGGGUCCUUUUCCAGCUCAUCUUUUUCCAGAACUCUCCGUCUGCAGAGGGCGGCACAGCCAGGACCCAGAAGAUCCUGAGCCCAGUGACAGGGGGCACAGAGGGGCGGGCCGGGCAAGCAGAGCUCCAGGUGGGCAGGCACCCUGGCUGGGGGGAGGGAGGCAGGGAAGGAACCGCCAGGUAGAGAACAGGUGGGCAGCCAGGCCUUGGCAGAGCCUGCAACGCUCCCCGGAGGUCCCCCAGUCAUCUGCCCUUUGCCCUGGACAGGCCCCAGCCAACGACUGGGGGCGCAGAGGAGGGAGGAAGGCGUCAUGGAGGGAGGGGUCCAGCUCACAGACCCCAACUCCAGAAGGAGACCUGUGGGACCAGAGCCCGAGGGGACACGCAUGA
rnacentral:lncRNA from 1 species